GACGAACGCUGGCGGCGUGCCUAAUACAUGCAAGUAGAACGCUGAAGGAGGAGCUUGCUUCUCUGGAUGAGUUGCGAACGGGUGAGUAACGCGUAGGUAACCUGCCUGGUAGCGGGGGAUAACUAUUGGAAACGAUAGCUAAUACCGCAUAAGAGUGGAUGUUGCAUGACAUUUGCUUAAAAGGUGCACUUGCAUCACUACCAGAUGGACCUGCGUUGUAUUAGCUAGUUGGUGGGGUAAGGGCUCACCAAGGCGACGAUACAUAGCCGACCUGAGAGGGUGAUCGGCCACACUGGGACUGAGACACGGCCCAGACUCCUACGG
rnacentral:rRNA from 1 species